UACGGAGGAGGCAAGCGUUAUCCGGAAUUAUUGGGCGUAAAGCGUCCGCAGGUGGCACAUCAAGUCUGCUGUCAAAGACCGGGGCUUAACCCCAGAAAGGCAGUGGAAACUGAAGUGCUAGAGUGCAGUAGGGGUAGAGGGAAUUCCCGGUGUAGCGGUGAAAUGCGUAGAGAUCGGGAAGAACAUCGGUGGCGAAAGCGCUCUGCUGGACUGCAACUGACACUCAGGGACGAAAGCUAGGGGAGCGAAUGGG
rnacentral:rRNA from 1 species